rnacentral:rRNA from 1 species
GUCCAGACUCCUACGGGAGGCAGCAGUGGGGAAUAUUGCACAAUGGGGGGAACCCUGAUGCAGCGACGCCGCGUGGGUGAAGGAGCACCUCGGUGCGUAAAGCCCUAUCGGCAGGGAAGAAACAGACGGUACCUGACUAAGAAGCCCCGGCUAACUACGUGCCGGCAGCCGCGGUAAUAAGUAGGGGGCCAGCGUUAUCCGGAUUUACUGGGUGUAAAGGGAGCGUAGACGGCAAUACAAGUCGGAAGUGAAAUACCCGGGCUGAACCUGGGAACUGCUUUGGAAACUGUAUGGCUAGAGUGCUGGAGAGGAGAGCGGAAUUCCUAGGGGAGCGGUGAAAUGCGGAGAUAUUAGGAGGAACACCAGGGGCGAAGGCGGCUUACUGGACAGUAACUGACGUUGAGGCUCGAAAGCGUGGGGAGCAAACAGGAUUAGAUACCCGCGUAC